rnacentral:rRNA from 1 species
ACGUACACUCCUACGGGAGGCAGCAGUGGGGAAUAUUGGACAAUGGGCGAAAGCCUGAUCCAGCAAUGCCGCGUGAGUGAUGAAGGCCUUAGGGUUGUAAAGCUCUUUUACCCGGGAUGAUAAUGACAGUACCGGGAGAAUAAGCCCCGGCUAACUCCGUGCCAGCAGCCGCGGUAAUACGGAGGGGGCUAGCGUUGUUCGGAAUUACUGGGCGUAAAGCGCGCGUAGGCGGCUUUGUAAGUUAGAGGUGAAAGCCCGGAGCUCAACUUCGGAAUUGCCUUUAAGACUGCAUCGCUAGAAUCGUGGAGAGGUGAGUGGAAUUCCGAGUGUAGAGGUGAAAUUCGUAGAUAUUCGGAAGAACACCAGUGGCGAAGGCGACUCACUGGACACGUAUUGACGCUGAGGUGCGAAAGCGUGGGGAGCAAACAGGAUUAGAUACCCCUGUAGUCCCAUG